rnacentral:pre_miRNA from 1 species
UUACUACUCUCUCCGUCUCAAAAUUCUUGUCUUAGAAUUGUCUAGAUACGGAUGUACCUAAUACUAAAACAUGACUUGAUACAUCCGUAUUUAGACAAAUCUAAGACAAAAAUUUUGAGAUGGAGGGAGUACAAU